CUUUCUGUGGAUGUUUUAAAAUAUCAUUCCCACCUCUAUAAUACUGUCAUUAUUCUCACUUUGCUUAUGAGGAAGCUGAGGCACAGAGAGGGGAAGCCACUUGCCCUAGGUCACACAGCAAACAGAUGGUGAGAUAGGGAAGGUGGUCAAACCCAGGAAGUUGGACUCUGGAACUGUCAUUUUAUUUACACUCAAGAUCUUUACUAAUUGGCAGUAAGCAACUAUUUGGGAGAAUUAAUUUUUUCCCCUAAUUUUCAAACCUGGAUUUGAAGAACAGUGAAAAAGAAUAUCCAACGCCCCUUGAACCAGCAUAUGAAGUUACACACAACUGCCUCAAAGACUGCACAGGCGCCCACUGCUACAGGCAGGAAGGGAACAGUGUCCUCAUUUCUGGCCGUCUGCCUCCGCAUCACCUCCUGUGCUGCUUCGAUCCCUGGAGCUGGGUGCGGGGACGGGGGCCUCCAGGUAGGCAGCAUCCUGCCCCCCGCCCCGCCAACAUCACACACACGUACAGGGGAUGAGAAAGCACCAGGCUUGGAUGGCGAAAAUCCAGAGUAAGGUGGAGAAGAAUCCCAGGUAACCCUUCUCUGGCUUGCCCUUGAUAUCCCCCGAAGGAUUGCAAUGUGGAAGAGGAGGUGAAUGGGUAAAGAAAUGAGGAAGAGGACGUUCUGGGUGGCCAUGCAGAAGCCAGAAGAGCAAACCAGAGCUGCAUGUAGCAACACGACGGCUGUAAAUAUAUUUUAUGUGAAAAAGUAAGAAACAGAGUAAGAUGUGUAAAACCGUGUCACUUAUGUAAAUUACAAACAGUAAUGUAGUCCCUCAGCAGUUGACUGGAAUAAUAAACAGUGGCACCUCUGUACAGGGCAGUCCUACUCAGCAUGAAAAAGGAGUGGAUCCUGAUUCAGGCCACAUCACGGAUGAAUCUCAGAAGCAUCAUGCUAAGUGGAAAAGGACAGAUGCAAAACACUGCCCAUGGUAGGGCUCCAUUUGCAGCAAAGUUGAGAACAGGUGAAACUAAUCUAUAGGGGUGGGAAGAUGGGAGCAGGGGUGGUGGCGUUGACUCCAAAGAGGUACAGGGGACUUUCUCUAGGGUGAUGGAAAUGUUUUAUGUCUUGAUUGUGGAAGUGAUGGGAAUGUACACUUUUAUCAAAAUUUAUCAAACUAGAUAGUUAAAACAGGUACCUUUUUAUUGAAUGAAAAUGA